rnacentral:tRNA from 1 species
UAGCUCAGUGGUAGAGCGGUCAGCUGUUAACUGACUGGUCGUAGGUUCGAAUCCUAC